GAGGUUAUAGCUCAGUGGUAAGAGUGUGUGCUUAGCAUGCUUGAGGUCUUGGGUUCAAUCCCCAGGACCUCC
rnacentral:tRNA from 1 species